rnacentral:rRNA from 1 species
UCGAGGGGCAGCAUAAAGUACUUGUACUUUGAUGGCGACCGGCGAACGGGUGCGUAACGCGUAUGCAACUUACCUUUUACUAGAGAAUAGCCAAGAGAAAUUUUGAUUAAUGCUCUAUACUCUUUUUAACUCACAUGAGUUUUUAAGAAAAGCUCCGGCGGUAAAAGAUGGGCAUGCGUCCUAUUAGCUUGUAGGUGAGGUAACGGCUCACCUAAGCUCCGAUAGGUAGGGGUCCUGAGAGGGAGAUCCCCCACACUGGUACUGAGACACGGACCAGACUUCUACGGAAGGCAGCAGUAAGGAAUAUUGGACAAUGGAGGAAACUCUGAUCCAGCGAUGCCGCGUGAAGGAAGACGGCCCUAUGGGUUGUAAACUUCUUUUAUACAGGAAGAAACCUUUCCACGUGUGGAAAGCUGACGGUACUGUAAGAAUAAGGAUCGGCUAACUCCGUGCCAGCAGCCGCGGUAAUACGGAGGAUCCAAGCGUUAUCCGGAAUUAUUGGGUUUAAAGGGUCCGCAGGCUGUUUGUUAAGUCAGGGGUGAAAUCCUACCGCUCAACGGUAGAACUGCCUUUGAUACUGGCAAACUUGAGUUAUUGUGAAGUAGUUAGAAUGUGUAGUGUAGCGGUGAAAUGCAUAGAUAUUACACAGAAUACCAAUUGCGAAGGCAGAUUACUAACAAUUAACUGACGCUGAGGGACGAAAGCGUGGGUAGCGAACAGGAUUAGAU